UUUAAAGUCUAAUCUGCCCCAUGAGGAAUUAAAUGGCCGCGGUACUUUGACCGUGCAAAGGUAGCAUAAUAAUUAGUUUUUUAAUUGAAAGCUGGUAUGAAUGAUUGGACGAGAAAAUGACUGUCUCAAUUUAAUUUUUUUAGAAUUUUAUUUUUAAGUAAGAAAGCUUAAAUUUUAUUAAAAGACGAGAAGACCCUAUAGAGUUUUAUAUUUAGUUGAUUUUUAGUUUUAAAGAAUUAUUUUAUUAAUAUUUAAUUAAAUAUUUUAUUGGGGUGAUAGAAAAAUAUUAUAAACUUUUUUUUUAUUUAAACAUUGAUUUAUGAUUUAAUGAUCCAUUUUUAUAUGAUUAAAAGAAUAAGUUACCUUAGGGAUAACAGCGUAAUUUUUUUUUAGAGUUCUUAUCGAAAGAAAAGAUUGCGACCUCGAUGUUGGAUUAAAAUUAAUAUUUGGUGUAGAAGCUAGAUAAUUGGGUCUGUUCGACCCUUAAAAUUUUACA
rnacentral:rRNA from 1 species